UCAGUGCGGACCCUGAUGGGCUCGAACUCACAAACUGUGAGAUCAUGACCUGAGCUGAAGUCAAGAGUCAGAUGCCUAAUGACUGAGCCACCCAGGGGCCCUCGUAUUUAAAAAAUCCCAUUGCUUCUAUUUCCAUUGCUAAUGAAUGCCUGGUCCAACACCGUUGCCUUUCACCUGGGAGGACAUGGCAGCCUCCUGACUGGUCUCCCUGUUGCUACUCUCUAUCCCUUUAUGUGGCCUGUUCCCCACAAAGCAGCCAGCGUUGUAUUUCCAAAACAUGAGUACGUCCCUCUGGACAGUGUCUUCAGCACCAAGCUCAUCCUUGGCAUGCACCAAUCACAGUGCCGGGGACAUUUCCCACCUCCAUGUCCUUGCCUGGGUAACUGCUGCUCAUCUGAGAUUCACUGGGGGAACCAUUCUGGGUCUCCUAGCUGGUUCUGUUCCUUCUCCACACAGCACUGGGGCCUCUCCCCUAUGGACUUACCGAGCAUUCACUAGCUCGUCUAAUCUGCAGACAUCCUACAAACUCCUGAGCCUGGCCAUUCUAGGCCCCUGGGAUGUCAGGAUGAACACGACACAGCCCCUGCCCUCAGUGAGUCCACAGUGCGAUGGGGGAAAACAGACAUUCGUCAGGCAUCAAGGAACAGAUAAGCAGGCGCUAUGAGAGGGGAAGGACCGGUGGUCAGAGGAGGCUUCCUUGAGAAGUGACAAUUGGUGGAUGUCUGAAGGGCCUUUGCCGGAGAAGUUCCCUCCAUCUAGUGGAGCUAACCAGCCCCAGGGUCUGGCCCAUAUGCAAGAGCUUCUCGGGACCCCCAGAACGCAGCACAGCUAUGCCAAUUUCAAUGGAGAACCAAGGAGAGGGAUGAGAAGGACGACGGCAGGGGGUAAGGUUGCCCUGGAAGGGGUCAGGACCAGUAAGAAAUGGGGGAAAGGCUUGGCGAGGACUGGGAGGGCGGACCUCUACGGCUAGGUCAAAGGGAGGAGACAGCCGAAAGGAAGGUGCUAUUGGAUGGGGCAGAGCAAUUUGCGGGCCGAUCGACGGGAUAGACAUACACGGCC